CGCAGGCCGGCGGGAGCUGAGCGCCGCCCGGGCCUCGCGGCUGCUGCAGGACGAAUCCCUGCGCAAUUCCCGGCGGGAAUGCCGCGAGCUGCGGGACAGAGCGGCCACGCUGCGGGACAGCCUGAGCACCGCCGAGAGACAGCGCAGGGCCGCGGAGGAGAAGCUGGGGGAGCUGGAGGAGGCCCGGCAGAGGCUGGAGCUGUGCGAGAGCCGCAGCUCCCGGCUGGAGGCCGAGCUGGGCCGGGCCCGCCGGGCGCUCGCUGAGAGGGACGCGGAGGCGCGGGAGGCGCGGGCGAGAGCGGAGCAGCUCCAGGAACAGCUGGCUCGGGCCGGGCCCCGCCCGGUUCCGUUCCCGGUGCCGUUCCCGGUUCCGCCGGGGAGCGGCUCCAAGGGGGAGGCUCCGGCCGGGUCCCCGCUCCACGAGCGGCUCCUGCAGCUCCAGAACGCGCUGGCCGCCGGCGAGAUGGACCGGAGGCUGCUCCAGGUGGGAUCGGAACCCUCCCCAGUGCCCCCAGUUCCUUCUGAAACCCCUCCCAGUCCUCCCACUUCCCCCUAAACCCCCUCCCACUUUCCCCCAACCCUUUCCCAGUUGCCCCUGUUCCCUCCGAACCCCUCCCAGUGUCCCCAGUUUCCGCUGGAACUCUUCCCUCUUCCCCCGAACCUCUCCCAGUUCCCCUGAACCCCUUUCCCAGUACCCCCAGUACCCCCAAACCCCUCGCAGCUACCCCUGAACCCACUCCCAGCCUCCCCAGUUCCCCUGAAUCCUGUCCCAGUUCUCCCCGGACCCCUUCCCAGUCCCCCUGAGCCCCCUGACAGUCCCGGGGGUGUCCCGAUGUGUCCCGGGGAUGUCCCGGUGUGUCCCGGGGCUGUCCCGGGGCUGUCCCGGUGUGUCCCGGGUGUGUCCCGAUGUGUCCCGGUGUGUCCCGGGGAUGUCCCGGGGGUGUCCCGGAGCUGUCCCGGGGCUCACGGGGCUGUCCCGUUGUCCCCCCGCUGUCCCAGGAGGGGCUGGAGGAGGCGCGGCGGGCGCUGGCGGAGGCGCGGCGGGAGAAGGGAAUGCUCCGGGAGCAGCUCCGGGAACAGCGGGAGCUGGGAAUGCUGCGGGAACCGGGAAUGCCGCGGGAACCGGGAAUGCCGAAGGAACUGGGAAUGCCGCGGGAACCGGGAAUGCCGAAGGAACAGGGAAUGCCGCGGGAGCAGCUCCGGGAGCCGGGAAUGCUGCGGGAACCGGGAAUGCCGCAGGAACAGGGAAUGCCACCGGAGCCCUCCCAGGACCCACAGGACGAGGUUUGUGUGUCCGGGCAGGAGCGGGAGCCCCCUGGCCAGGCUGGAUCCCCGCAAAUCCCCGCGGGCUCGGCCGAGCGGGAGCUGGAGGAGGCUCGGAAGCGCAUCCAGGUGCUGCGGGCGCAGCUCUCGGUGCUGGAGCUCCGGGCCCGGCCGCUCCCCGGGGCGCCCGCGGAGCUGCGGCGGGAGCUGGAGCGGAUCCGGCUCGGCCGCGGGGACCUGGAGGAGCAGAUCGCGCUGCUCAAGGAGCAGGAGCUGCAGCGCCAUCCCAACGGAAUUUAGGGAAUUCCACCCAAUUGGGAUUUAGGGAAUUCCAUCCGCUCAGGGCUGAGCCAGCCCCAUCCCGGCCCGUUCUGUCUCCUCAUUCCCUUCCCUCCGGGAAAAAGCCGCACUUUUCCCACCAGCCGACAAAAUUUGUCUGUUUUUUAAACAAUUUUGGACCUCAUGGAUGGUUCACCCCAUUUUCCUGCUGCAGUUUUAAAGGAGGAAAAGAAAAAAAAUGGAAAAUACUCCCUUUUUUUAGCCCCAGAAGACCAAACUGAUUUAUUCCACCCCAUCUUAAUUCCCCCUUUUUCUAACAAAAACCUCCCCGGAUUUGUGCUUUUGAAGGAUUUUUUUAGGAACUGUUUUUUUAUGUGGGAUUUUUGGGGAUUUUUACUGGUGCUCCGAGGUUGGGAAAGCCACGGGAAGGGGGUGGUGGCUCUGAUCCCCCUCAGUCCCGGUGGGAAUAAACGUGGAAAAUCCAAAUUGGGAGCUCUGAGG
ensembl:lncRNA